UCCUAACCAGCUACUACCUGUCACCAUGCAAUGCUGUUACAAUACCAUCAACUAUAGUCCCUAUGCUGUACCAAUCAUUCCAUUCUUAAUGAUCUUUUCCCAAUGAAUUGUGGGACCCAUAAAAAAGGCAAGAGUCUGAAAUCUGGACAAUGGCUUAAAAUCAAAGAUAAUUUACGACUAUUUCUUCUCAAAAUUGUGGUGAUGAUGAUGAUGGUGAUGAUGAUGGCAGCUGAAAUUUUUUGACCACUUACUGUGUACCAAUCAAUGGUACAGGAUCACAGAAAAAAAAGUCAAUUAAAUAGACAAAAAAAAAAAAAAAAAAAAAAAAAAAAAAAAAAAAAAAAAAAGAAAGAAAAAAAAACAAUCCAAACAUUUCCAGGUAAGAAAAUAAAAGAAUAGACCACAUACA
rnacentral:lncRNA from 1 species